rnacentral:rRNA from 1 species
UACGUAGGGUCCAAGCGUUAUCCGGAAUUACUGGGCGUAAAGCGUACGCAGAUGGCGUUACAGGUGAGAUGCGAAAUCUUAUGGCUCAACCAUAUAGACUGUUUCUCAAACCGUAACACUAGAGGUUGGUAGAGGCAAGCGGAAUUCCCGGUGUAGCAGUGACAUGCGUAGAUAUCGGGAGGAACACCAAUGGCGAAGGCAGCUUGCUGGGCCACACCUGACGUUAAGGUACGAAAGCGUGGGGAGCGAACGGG